rnacentral:lncRNA from 1 species
ACCAGUAGUACAAAUCUCUUAAAACCGCUAGAAACCGCAACCGCCCUCAUCCACAAACUCCCGCAACCACAACCGCAACCGCUGCGUUUGGAGCAGUCAGGCCCUUAAAUGUGUGGCUUGUAGUUCGGUUACUUAUUUUUUUUUUGUUAGUAAAUGUUAUUUGUUUUUUAUAUAAAUAGUAGGAUGAAGUUGUUCUAGUAAAUCUGUGUCAAAAUCAUUAUUUAAAAUCUUGAAAUUGAAACGGUUUCUAACUUUAUAUGAUACCAAUAGAUUGAUUUGUUAUGAUUUCUAUUUGAUUAGUUUUAUUUUUUUAUUAGUCAUUAAUAGAGAAAGAAAGAACAAUGAGAACCACACAAUAUAAAUAUUGACCAUAUUUCGCUGCAAUUAUUAUUUUUAGUAACAAUAUAUUGAUUCAAUUGGGUUAUAAAUAACUUAUGAUGGAAAUCUAUUAGUUAAAUAUAUAAUAGCCUAUAUUAUUAUUCACUGCAAUAUAGAAAAUUCAUAAUAAACCGAUUUAGUUUAGUUGUUCUAAUUAUUUGACAAUUUAUCUUUACCAAAAAA